CUGGGUCAUAGGUUCAGCAUAAAGAAAGAACACAUUACACACAUAAAGAAGAGAGAGAAAGAUGGAGAGAAGCGACUCUGUGGUUAACAUUUCAGUGCGUCAUCAGAGGAAGUCCACAGCGAGUGUGUGUCAGUUGUGAUUCUCAUGCCCUGGGUGUGAGUGUAGAGGGGGAGGCCACAGCACCUGAAGGCUGAGUGACUGGCCUCAUUCUGAUAUCCUUCCAGAAAGAUGAAGCAUCUGUGGGUCUGGCUGCUCCUCUCCUUCCUCUGUUCCCUCUCUUCUUGGGGGAUAAGAGGCAUGUUGGUGGUGAUCCAGUCUCCUCAUAAUGUAACAGUAACAGAGGGGGACACUGUUCAGAUCCAGUGCUGCUGGAAUCAAAAUGUGUCAAGAGGGACAGUUAAUUGGCUUAAAAAGAAGGACACACCGAGAUAAAAUAUAAAGUGUCCUGGUCACCUACAGUCAGUGUUAUGACAGGGCAUCUCAGCAGACUGUAGCCUGUAACUGCUCAAAUUGGACCAUCUCAAACCUCACUAGAAAUGACACGGGUACUUACAUCUGUAAAGUUUCUGUAGAGAUCCCAUCUCUUAUUGAAUCCGAGGGGAAUGGGACACGGAUAACAGUUACGUCCCAAAACACAACAAACAAUGAUUCCUCAGAAGAAAAACUGCUCCAGCAGCUGCCUAUCAUGAUUCCACUUGCUGUCCUGCCAUUGUUCCUCCUCCCUCUCAUCUGCCUGUACAGGGCAUGGAAAAGACACCAAGGUGGUGCCCCAGACAGAACAGUCAGGGUGAUCCACGAGGCUCCCAACCAUGAGGACGAGGAGUUGAAGAUGGAGGAGCUGGAAGAGGCGGCCAACCAGAGCUCUUCCUCCUCCUCCAGAGGAUCCACCCAAUGGUGUCAAGUCCAGGUGUAUGAAUCACUUGAUUACUUGGCAUUACCAACCCAAGACAAAGGUUAAGGACCGGCUGUGAAUGUAUGUUUCUAUUGCGUUUCAUGUGUCAGUCAUUUCUGUAGGUAUUUUACAGUAUGUAUGUACAGUGUAUUUUUGAUGUGUGUGUUUUUUUUAUUUGAUUGCAGUAGGUAAUUACUGCUAUUGUUUCUUCUUUAAACCAUUUUUACUGUGUGGAAUGUACUUUAUUCUCCAGUGAGGAAGUGAAAGAGAGACUCGUGUAAAUUUAGGUUGUGCAAUGAGGUACUUUUACAAAGAUCUGUGAAUAGUUACUCUUUAUUUAACUCUGGUUUGUAUCUUAGACCUAUGCGAAAGCCAGUGUUUACAUGAAAAGUGUGUGUGCGCACGUGUGCAUGUGAAUGUGUCCAUGUGCCUGACAAGAGAAGCGAGUAAAAGAGAAAAUUAUGCUACACAAGA